UUCAGGCAAGGGUAAAGUAAAUUAACCUCUACUGCUAGUUGACAAUGAAAUGGAAGGGAAAAUAUUUAAGUUUAAAAUUUUGGUAGCUAUUCUUUUAUGCCACUUGAAAUUGAUUGGUUUUAAUUCAGUUUUUUAUAUUUGUGAUUGAAUCCUAGGCGGAAGUGAAUACAAAGAUUAAGAAGGCUUACUGCCCUCCAGAAAAGGUCGAAGGCAAUCCUUGUUUGGAAUACGUACAGUACCUCAUUUUCCCUUGGUUUCAUGAGUUCACCGUAGAGUGCAGUGAAAAGAACGGUGGAGAUAUCACUUUCAAAGAGUUUGAAGAAUUGAGUGCUGCUUAUGCAAAAGGUGAGGUCCAUCCUGGAGACCUCAAACCAUCUUUGGCAAAAGCAUUGAAUAGAAUACUGGAGCCCGUACGAUCCCAUUUCAAGAAUGACAAAGCUGCCAAACAGCUAUUACAAAGUGUAAAGAAUUAUAGAGUCACCAGAUGAUGAUAGUAAUGGAGCUAGGACUUCUCGCCUUUGCCCCUACUCCUGCAAUUGUGGGGUGAAAAGACCUGUUUCUUGGGAAAAGGGGGCCCCUGCGUGCUCAUCUUGAAGCUUUUUUUUAUUCAGUACGUGUUUAUCGGCAUUAUAGGGAAAUAUACUUUCAGAGAAAAGAAUAUCAAUAUCUUGUGUUGUAA